rnacentral:rRNA from 1 species
CCUACGGGAGGCUGCAGUGGGGAAUAUUGCACAAUGGGCGAAACCCUGAUGCAGCGACGCCGCGUGCGUGAAGAAGGAUUUCGUUAUGUAAAGCUCUAUUAGCAGGGAAGAAAAUGACGGUACCUGAGUAAGAAUCACCGGCUAACUACGUUCCAGCAGCCGCGGUAAUACGUAGGGGGCAAGCGUUAUCCGGAUUUACUGGGUGUAAAGGGAGCGUAGGCGGUAGUGUAAGUCUGGAGUGAAAGGCGGAGGCUCAACCUCCGGACUGCUAUGGAAACUGUAAGGCUGGAGUGCAGGAGAGGUAAGUGGAAUUCCUAGUGUAGCGGUGAAAUGCGUAGAUAUUAGAAGGAACACCGAUGGCGAAGGCAGCUUACUAGGCUGUUUCUGACGUUGAGGCACGAAAGCGUGGGGAGCAAACAGGAUUAGAUACCCCAGUAGUC